UACGGAGGGAGCGAGCGUUGUCCGAAGUUACUGGGCGUAAAGCGCGCGUAGGCGGGGAAUUAAGUGAGAAGUGAAAGGCUGGGGCUCAACCUCAUGCAGUGCUUCUCAUACUGGUUCUCUUGAGGGCGGUAGGGAGAAGUGGAAUGGCUGGUGUAGCGGUGAAAUGCGUAGAUAUCGGGAGGAACAUCAGUUGCGAAGGCGGCUCUCUGGACCAGCACUGACACUGAGGCACGAAAGCGUGGGGAGCAAACAGG
rnacentral:rRNA from 1 species